GUCGAGAAUAAUUCACAAUGGACGAAAGUCUGAUGGUGCAACGCCGCGUGGAGGAUGAAGGUCUUCGGAUUGUAAACUCCUGUCAUCGGGGAGUAAGACCUGGCGGUAAAUAGCCGACAGGGUUGAUAGUACCCGAAGAGGAAGGGACGGCUAACUUCGUGCCAGCAGCCGCGGUAAUACGAAGGUCCCAAGCGUUGUUCGGAAUCACUGGGCGUAAAGGGAGCGUAGGCGGCGUGGUAAGUCAGAUGUGAAAUACCGGGGCUCAACCCCGGAACGGCAUCCGAUACUGCCAUGCUUGAGGGUUGGAGAGGUAGCUGGAAUUCUCGGUGUAGCAGUGAAAUGCGUGGAUAUCGAGAGGAACACUCGUGGCGAAGGCGAGCUACUGGACAACAUCUGACGCUGAGGUGCGAAAGCGUGGGGAGCAAACAGGAUUAGAUACCCCAGUAGUCC
rnacentral:rRNA from 1 species